rnacentral:lncRNA from 1 species
GAAAAAAUAUACAAGAACCAUUUCUAGAGUGGUAACAAUCUCCCGUGGGAAUGCCGGCAUUUCCUAGUUCCUAGCUCUUCCCUUUUAAGAGUGAUCUUCAUAAACAUGUGAAAGGCCAAGUGGCUGGGAUGGAGAUUUUCCUUUCUUUUUGGCAGCCAUUUUGACCUGAUGUGAUUCUGUUGAGAAAGAUGGCCUGCCUGUUGCAUAGAUACCGAUGGAAAGUCUGUGGAGGCAGGAAAUCUAAGCUCCACAUUUAUUCUCUGAAUCUUCUUUUAGGUGUUCAGGCACUUCAGGACCUCUCACCUCUGUGAAGGGACUUGGGAGACACCCAGAAAAUGGACCCACUGGGCCGCUCCAGGUGUUUCCUUGCCUCCUCUUCUGAAAAUUCGGGACCGCCAUACAGACACCUCCCGGCUCUUCUGUGUGGUCAGGCGGUGAGUGGUGCCAGAAUGCAGGGGCCUGUGCUUGGAGCCAUGGGGGGUUCCAGAUGUCCUGUGUUCCCUAUCUGCCUCCUCCUACCUGCCCCUUUAUUAAGCACCAUGGCAUCCAUCAGCUCAUCUGAUUUUCACAGCAGCCCUUCCAGGCCAGAACAGCUAUUAUUGAUCCCAUGAUACAGAGGGGGAACUGAUGCUAGGAGAGGUUGUGAAUUUCACUCAUUCACUCAUUCAUUCACUCAUUCAGCCGUCCUUUUGGUUGGAGCAGCAUUGUGAAAGGCACUAAGGACAGCGAUAUGAGUAAGGUGUAGCCCCUCACCCUCAGGGACCCACGGCCUUGCGCAGAUGGAAGGUGGCAAUGACCUGACCACCCUUGGAGUGUCUCUGUCUCCCUAGGCAGCGCUCAUUGGCAGAAUGCUAGUUCUAAAACAUGGGCCAAACUCACUUCUAGAGCUCUUGGAUGGGCUGAUCUCAGUGUAAAGCCCCAGACUCUCUGCUAAGCUUUCUAGUCUCCCACCAUCUUCACCAUACUGAGACCCGUGGAACCUCAUGCUUCCCAACUUGCCACACAUGUGACAACCCCACUCACUGCCCACCCAACAGCCAUGCCUUCCUUCCACUCACCUGUCUUCCCGGCUCCCAGAGCUCUGAUGCUGUGGGGGGUGGGUAGAGACUCUGGCACCUGGCCUGUCAGCAGCCCCGGUGUGAACGGAUCAUGGUUAUCCUAACGCCCUUUGUCAGGUACCUCCCAGUCUUCCUCACAGGUGGGGGUGACCAGCCCAUCAGUGAGAAUAGGGGACAGUUAUGGACCAAAUGUCUGUGCCUCCUUCAAGUUCGUACGUUCAGACCUUAGCCUCUUGCCCCUGAUUGUAUUAGGAGGUGGGGCCUUUGCGAGGUGAUAAGGUCGUGAGGCUGGAGCCUCAUGAAUGGGAUCAGUGUCCUAAUAAAAGGGACCCCAGCGAGCUCGUGUUCCUCUUU